GUUGUAUUUGUUGAUUGAAGCUACAAGGCGUCGCCCUGUUCUGUUGUCUGAGUGAGGCCGUACUAAAUGCUAAUGUAGAAACCUCCUCAAUUUUCUCCAGAAACUCACUGCUCUUUUGAUUUGCUCAACAAUGGAAACUUCAUCUUUUAUGCUUCACUCGAGAGCAAUCCCUUUUAGUUACGCUCGUCCGAACACUCUUAGUAAUUAUAGCACGAAGAGAGUUUCUCUUAGGCAUUUCAACAAACACCUUCAAUUGCAUCGACGCGAUGUCAACUUUCAGUGCCACCAGAGCCAUACACACAGCAAAACCUCCUUAAACCCUUCGUUUGCAUUUUCGCUCUAUCAGUCACCAUCGCCCUUAAAAUUGACGAGAACCCAUUUAAUCUCUUCUGUCAAAUGCUCCUACUCCACCUCUGCAAGCACAGACUCCUCCCAAGACCACCCAUGGCUGCAGCGUCUGAAAAACAUCUCUCUUGAUGAAGUGAAAUCAACCUUUUUGCAAUUAACUCCAAUUGAUAUCAUCAAGUGGUCUGGUGUCAUAUCGAUCGCAAUUUCAGCCGCAAAGUGGACGGUCAAUUUGUUAUUGAACCCAUUUUUCUGGAUGUAUUUUAGCUGGACGUGGUUAUUUUGGCCGUGGUUGGUGGCAAUAUCAGUUGCUGUCUACGGGUUGUAUUGCUUUUAUAGACAUUAUUUGGGUGAAGCGAGCAUUUUUGAGCAACUUGCUCUUGUUACCUCAGUUUUCACUUGGCUAACUCUUGUCCCUGCUGCCCAUUUUAAUGGCUACCUCGAAGGAUGGCCUUUUGUGUUCUUCUUUGUGUAUCAUUAUUUCUUUUUCUUCAAUGUUAGCGUGAGGAAACGUUUAUAUGGAGAUUUAUUUGCUCGCCCACAUGACCCCAAGUGGGAUCUAAGCCCACCCAAGUGGUAUGGCCUUUUCUUCUGUGUUGGUGUCAUGGUUGGUCAUUGGCUCGCAGCUUUUGAAGGGCCAGAGCUACACCUUAUUCCUGGUGGAUGGAGCAAUGCGGGGAUGUGGAUUUUGAUAUUAAUAACUUUGCUGAUGCAAUAUAACUCGACACUUUACCUUGCCAAGUAUUCAGAGAAGGUGGUGGUGCCUACUGCUGUAGUGCAAUUUGGCCCAUAUAGGUGGGUCCGGCACCCAAUAUAUUCAUCCACAAUGCUGUUGUUUGCGACUUACUUUCUUGCACUUCGUGCACCUUUGAGCUUGUUGUUUGUGGUAGCAGUAUGUUUGAUAUAUUAUGGCCAGAGAGCAAAAGUGGAGGAGGCUCUGAUGAUAGAGACUUUUGGUGAGAGAUACUUAGAUUACAUGAACAAAGUCCGAUACAAGUUGAUUCCUUUAGUUUAUUAAUGCAAUCUCCAGGUUCAAUUCCAGUAACUGGCUUGCAAGGUUAUGGCUUUGUGAUACAAAUAAUCCUUUGGUAAUCGCGGUGAAACGAUUUAAAUGAGGAAGAUUUGUCAACUUGUUUGGCUUUUGGAAAAGUCAAGUCAACCAUGUUUCAUGCCCUGGCAACUUUUGAUAUUCAGGAAACAAGUAUCAGCUUAAAUGUAUGCGUGAGAAUGAAUGCUUUCUAUGAAAAGAAGAGAUAACAACUAUUGGGGAUGAAAUGGAUGUGAAUAUCUAAUGUCUGCCACUGGUUUUCUUCUUGUCACAAAACAGUUGCACGAUCUGGUAUCUAGUUAUAUAUAUCAUCUUUUUUCUUUUUUCCCUCAAA